GAUGAACGCUAGCGGCAGGCCUAAUACAUGCAAGUCGAGGGGCAGCGCGGUAGCAAUACUGGCGGCGACCGGCGCACGGGUGCGUAACACGUAUGCAACCUACCUUCAACUGGAGGAUAGCCCAGGGAAACUCGGAUUAAUACUCCAUAACACAGGGAUCCCGCAUGGGAAUAUUGUUAAAGCUACGGCGGUUGAAGAUGGGCAUGCGUUCGAUUAGCUAGUUGGUGUAGGUAACGGCUCACCAAGGCUACGAUCGAUAGGGGGUCUGAGAGGAUGAUCCCCCACACUGGUACUGAGAUACGGACCAGACUCCUACGGGAGGCAGCAGUAGGGAAUAUUGGUCAAUGGAUGCAAGUCUGAACCAGCCAUGCCGCGUGCAGGAAGAAGGCCUUCUGGGGUUGUAAACUGCUUUUGCCAGGGGAUAAAAUUUCCAUGCGUGGAAAACUGAAGGUACCUGGUGAAUAAGCCACGGCUAACUACGUGCCAGCAGCCGCGGUAAUC
rnacentral:rRNA from 1 species